UAUUAAAAAAUUUAUCUACUUGUAUUGUUAAAAACUGGCGGAGUUGAUAGAUAACGAAAAAGUGACGCGUGACAUGCCAUGUGAACCUUAUGUUGACAUACAAUAAUCAGUUUUUAACAGUACAAUUUGACGAAUUUUUUAACA
rfam:Gossypium hirsutum cultivar TM-1 chromosome 2, whole genome shotgun sequence